rnacentral:rRNA from 1 species
CCUAUGGGGGGCAGCAGUGGGGAAUAUUGGACAAUGGGGGCAACCCUGAUCCAGCCAUGCCGCGUGUGUGAAGAAGGCCCUCGGGUUGUAAAGCACUUUCAGUGAGGAAGAACGCCUGGUGGUUAAUACCCAUCAGGAAAGACAUCACUCACAGAAGAAGCACCGGCUAACUCCGUGCCAGCAGCCGCGGUAAUACGGAGGGUGCGAGCGUUAAUCGGAAUUACUGGGCGUAAAGCGCGCGUAGGUGGCUUGAUAAGCCGGUUGUGAAAGCCCCGGGCUCAACCUGGGAACGGCAUCCGGAACUGUCAAGCUAGAGUGCAGGAGAGGAAGGUAGAAUUCCCGGUGUAGCGGUGAAAUGCGUAGAGAUCGGGAGGAAUACCAGUGGCGAAGGCGGCCUUCUGGACUGACACUGACACUGAGGUGCGAAAGCGUGGGUAGCAAACAGGAUUAGAUACCCCUGUAGUC